UCUAUUAUAAAAAAGGAAAAUAAGAAAAAAUUCCAAAGGAACUUAAUAGGCCCAUCAGGAAGGAGUAAAAAAGAUCAUUAAAAGAAAUAAUACAUGAAAGAGUUAACAAAUUUUCAGUAUUACCUAAGUAAGCAAAACUAAAAUAUAAUUGCUUGUCUUGAUAUUCAAUCACAAAGAACUAAUACACGUUUCAAAUGACCAUUUGUUAAUUCUAUAUUAGGGAUUCAAGGGAUCAAGCAAAACUUGAAAUUUCAAAAUCAAUGGUUGCAAAAAAGGAAUGAGCAACAAUUUAGUUAUUUACUACAUUUACACAUAACUAAAGAUUACACAUACAAAUUUAUAUAUUUUAUUGGUGUAUUAUAAUUAUACAUAAUAGUGGGAUUCAUUAUGCUAUGUUCAUACAUGCACACAAUUGGUUAAAUCUUCUUCCCCAGUACCUUCCCUUUUCCUCCCCUCUCCUUCCCCCAUCAACUUACUCUAUUGAUCUCCCUGCUAUUGUUAUUGUUUUAAUUAAUGCAAUAUGUAUAAAAGUAGGAUUCAUUGUGUUACAUUUAUACCUGGACAUAGCAUAAUUUGGUAGACUUUAUUCUCCACUACUUGCCCAUGCCUUUCCUUCCUCCUCUAUUCUAUAAGUCUCUUUUUUCAUAAGAUCCCUACCUGUUUUUUAAGUAUUUCUCUCUUUAGCUUUCACAUAUGGGAGAAAACAUUUAAUCUUUAACUUCUAGAGUCUGGUUUAUUUCACUUAGCAUGAUGUUCUCCAUUUCUAUCCAUUUAUCAGCAAAUGACACAAUUUUAUUCUUUAUGGCUGAGUAAAACUGCAUUGUAGUUAUACCACAUUUUCUUUAUUCAUUAAUCUGUUGACAGGCACCUAGCCUGGUUCCAUAACUUGGCUAUUAUGAAUUGUGCUGCUAUAAACACUGGUGUAUACGUAUCACUAUAGUAUAAGGAUAUUACUCUUAAUAUCACUAUAAUAGUUCUUUUGAAUAAAUAUCAAGGAGUGGGAUAGCUAGGUCAUAAGGUGGUUCCAUUCCUAGUCUUUUGAGAAAUCUCCAUACUGCUCCCCAAAGUGGUUGUACUAAUUUUCAGUCCCACCAAAAAUGUUUUAAGUGUACCACUCCACACACACACAUCCUCACGAACAUUCAUUAUUUGUAUUCUUGAUUGCCAUUCUAAUGGGAGUGAGAUGAAAUCUCAGUGUAGUUUUGAUUUGCAUUUCCCUGAUUGCUAAGGAUGUUGAACAUUUUUUUCAUAUAUUAGAUAUACUUUUAAUGUACAAAGAAUGUAUUGCAUACCAGUGUUCUACAUACUUGAAAAAAAUCUUUCACACCUUAAUGAAAACAAAUAAUCUGAAGCUGAUUGCUAAUUUGGUACAGAACAAAAACUUCUGGUUACCACAUUACAAUUAUUCUCCAUUAAUAAGAGAACCAGAGGCAAAGAAAAAAAUGCUAACAUUGCAAAGAAUUGUGAAUUUACAUUAGUUAUGAGGAUGAGUGGCUUGAAUGAGAGGGUUGCUCAAUUUGGGAUUAGAUACUGUGGGAUUUUUUUUCUCUCUCUCUCUACCUAGGCUGGACCUGCUGCUAACACAGAAACAGACAAAAUUUUCAAGAUCCUGCCAAACCUGGUGAUCCCACAUGUCUAUGGAAAUGAAAAGCUAAUUAAGAGGCCCCCUAGGGACAGGUCAAAAGAGUUCUUUUGUCCUUAAGGCCCUUAUCCCAGUUCCUUGAUGUCUUACUCCUCCUCUUUCAUUCAGUCUACUCUAAAACCAAAGAAUACACAUUGUGCAAGUUUCUACCCUCGCUUCCUUUACUGUAAAUGCAUUGGGCUAUUAGAAUGAAGAAUUUUAAAUCCCUUGACCUUCAUCUCUAAACUUGCUUAUUUUUAAAGUAUUCUUUUUAAAUAGAGCUCUGGACACUAAAAAAAAAAAUCUUUCUAAAACUAUUUUAUAUUGGAUAACUUUAUUUAUUAUUUAUUUAUUUGUUUAGGUACUGAG
rnacentral:lncRNA from 1 species